AGAGCCCUGCUGUGCUCGUGAUGCGGUAAUGCGGUUUGAGCCAACACUUAAUAAGAGGGAGCCGGACUCUGCAGAAGCUGCGACUUCCCUUCCAUGUGAAGGAGUCGUGCUGGCUGUCAGGAGGCACCCACCUGCGAGAGCAGGUUCAAACCUCUUCCGCACACGGCACGGCGGGGUUUCG
rnacentral:other from 1 species